rnacentral:rRNA from 1 species
AACGGAACUCUUUGGAAUCAAGGCUUCGGCCAAGUGAAUUUGAGUUUAGUGGCGGACGGGUGAGUAACGCGUGAGGAACCUGCCUUUCAGAGGGGGACAACAGUUGGAAACGACUGCUAAUACCGCAUAACAUUAAGUUUGGACAUCCUUACUUAAUCAAAGGAGCAAUCCGCUGAAAGAUGGGCUCGCGUCCGAUUAGAUAGUUGGCGGGGUAACGGCCCACCAAGUCGACGAUCGGUAGCCGGACUGAGAGGUUGAUCGGCCACAUUGGGACUGAGACACGGCCCAGACUCCUACGGGAGGCAGCAGUGGGGGAUAUUGCACAAUGGCGAAAGCCUGAUGCAGCAACGCCGCGUGAGGGAAGAAGGUCUUCGGAUUGUAAACCUUUGUCCUAAGUGAAGAAACAAAUGACGGUAGCUUAGGAGGAAGCCACGGCUAACUACGUG